ACAAGCGGUGGAUGAUGUUGGUUUAAUUCGUAUGCAACGACGAAAACCUUACCCACCUUUGACAUGGCAGGAAUCCCGAAGAGAUUGGGAGUGCUCGAAAGAGAACCUGCACACAGGUGCUGCAUGGCUGUCGUCAGCUCGUGUCGUGAGAUGUUGGGUUAAGUCCCGCAACGAGCGCAACCCUUGCCAUUAGUUGCUACGAAAGGGCACUCUAAUGGGACUGCCGGUGACAAACCGGAGGAAGGUGGGGAUGACGUCAAGUCCUCAUGGCCCUUAUAGGUGGGGCUACACACGUCAUACAAUGGCCGGUACAGAGGGUAGCCAACCCGCGAGGGGGAGCCAAUCCCACAAAGCCGGUCGUAGUCCGGAUCGCAGUCUGCAACUCGACUGCGUGAAGUCGGAAUCGCUAGUAAUCGCGGAUCAGCAUGUCGCGGUGAAUACGUUCCCGGGUCUU
rnacentral:rRNA from 1 species